UUUUUGCUCAGGGAUAAUGGGGAUAUCUCCUUUCACCUUCUGAGGUAGAAUUUUAUAAGUGGGAAGAAUAGGCCUUUUGAGUAUUAUCACAAGGGGCUAUAAUAUAACCUAUAAGUCCUGCGCACACUGCAAACAUCUCUUUAAAUUGUACUGGAAAACGAGCCAGUGUCUUAUUUCUUAGCAUCUUUGAAGAGACUUUUGGUAAGCGGUUUUAUAACCCUAGGGAUCAUCACUGCUGCCCUAUUCCUGGCGGAGGACAACAGUCUCACUUCCUUAUGAGAAGCCUGGUAGGGAUGCUUAUUGUAUUCCUAGUAAGUUCAGAACUAGAAUAAAUGUUCUUCUAUUAUGAACAUAUCUGCCAAUUAGAGUUUUAUGCAUGAAAUACAAAAUGACUUUUUAUAGAGAAUAAGUGCUUUUAAGUCUUUAAAAGGCUUACCCCAUAAAUAAUGAUAUUGGCAAUAAAAACCUUUGGAAGACUGAAAACCCUAAGUAGUCGCACCAUAGUGCUUGGUGCUUACCUAAGAAUGGAGGGUGGCAGCUCACUGUUGGGAGUUGCAUGCUGCAACUUAAUGGUCAGAAUGAAAUAAAUACUUGUAGAAUG
rnacentral:lncRNA from 1 species